AUAUAUACCUGGGGUAGACGAGGCUGUAAUCAAUAAGGCAGCUUCUCCAAGGUGAGACCCUUCCGUUGCGAAUGGGUUGACCCUUGCGAUUACCCCUAAUGUGGGUAAAUCGGACGCCUAAUUUUUGGUAGUGAGAACUGCGUACACGCUGUUCUCAU